rnacentral:rRNA from 1 species
CAACAGGGAUUGCCUUAGUAACUGCGAGUGAAGCGGCAAAAGCUCAAAUUUGAAAUCUGACGUCUUCGGCGUCCGAGUUGUAAUUUGGAGGGAUAACUUCGGGGUUGGCGCCGUCCUAAGUUCCUUGGAACAGGACGUCACAGAGGGUGAGAAUCCCGUGCCUGGAUGGCUGUCCAACUCCAUGUGAAGUGUCUCCGACGAGUCGAGUUGUUUGGGAAUGCAGCUCAAAAUGGGUGGUAAAUUUCAUCUAAAGCUAAAUAUUGGCGAGAGACCGAUAGCGCACAAGUAGAGUGAUCGAAAGAUGAAAAGCACUUUGAAAAGAGAGUUAAAAAGUACGUG